AAAGCCAUCUAAUUUGUGAUAUUUAUGAGGUGACACUACAUGCUACAUGAAAAGGCAAAAGUCGUUUUAUUAAACAAAAUCUAAAAUACAAUUAUAUUGUCUGAUUUUCAAGCAUGAGUCUCAGCUACCUGUCAAGCCUAUUUAAAACAUAAAUAUUUAGGUAUUUUCACAAUAAAUCAUCCACCAGUCAAUUCUUGCAGAAGCGUGACCAACGAUGAGGACAUCAAGUUACAGCCAGAAUUCACUGUGAUAAUACUUCCAGAGUGCUUGGAUGAUCUCAAGGAAGGUCAUUUGAUUUCCCUAUGCACCAGUCACUUUACCUGUAAAAUGGAAAGAAUAAUUACUGAGUGUGUUAAACAGGAUGUUAUACAGAAAAUAGCAUUAGUGUGA
rnacentral:lncRNA from 1 species